rnacentral:miRNA from 1 species
CGGCAGUGAGUCGAUAGCGCCCUUU